rnacentral:rRNA from 1 species
UACGUAGGGUGCAAGCGUUAAUCGGAAUUACUGGGCGUAAAGCGUGCGCAGGCGGUUAUGUAAGACAGGUGUGAAAUCCCCGGGCUUAACCUGGGAACUGCAUUUGUGACUGCAUAGCUAGAGUACGGUAGAGGGGGGAUGGAAUUCCGGCGUGUAGCAGUGAAAUGCGUAGAUAUGCGGAGGAACACCGAUGGCGAAGGCAAUCCCCUGGGCCUGCACUGACGCUCAUGCACGAAGCGUGGGGAGCAAACAGGA